rnacentral:lncRNA from 1 species
GAUACUAUGAUUUUUUGAUCUAAAAUGAUAAUCCUGUAGAACUAGAUGAGAACGAUGAGGAUUCGAUCACUUACAUGGAUGCCAUAUAGAGAUCCAACUCUGAUAAAUGGCUUGAUGCCAUAAAAUUUAAGAUGGAGUCCAUGGAGAUCAAUGAUGUAUGGACAUUAAUUGAUCCACUUGAAGGGAUGAGACCCAUAAGGUUAAAUAGAUUUUCAAAAGAAAAAGAAGC